rnacentral:rRNA from 1 species
AACGAACGCUGGCGGCAUGCCUAACACAUGCAAGUCGAACGAUGGUCUUCGGAUCAUAGUGGCGCACGGGUGCGUAACGCGUGGGAAUCUGCCCUUGGGUUCGGAAUAACAGUUGGAAACGACUGCUAAUACCGGAUGAUGUCGAUAAGACCAAAGAUUUAUCGCCCGAGGAUGAGCCCGCGUCGGAUUAGCUAGUUGGUGGGGUAAAGGCCUACCAAGGCGACGAUCCGUAGCUGGUCUGAGAGGAUGAUCAGCCACACUGGGACUGAGACACGGCCCAGACUCCUACGGGAGGCAGCAGUGGGGAAUAUUGGACAAUGGGCGCAAGCCUGAUCCAGCAAAGCCGCGUGAGUGAUGAAGGCCUUAGGGUUGUAAAGCUCUUUUACCCGGGAAGAUAAUGACUGGACCGGGAGAAGAAGCCCCGGCUAACUCCGC